AUAUAAAUUUGACAGAAGGAAUAUGCAUGUGAAUUCUAGAAAUUUAUUUCUUGCCAUUUUUUAUAUUAGGUUAAGUGAUUUAAUUUGAAUACAUUCAGUUUGUACACAUCUGGCAUCAGUCUGAAUUUUGUUUACAUAUAUCUGCUGUUAUUUUAGGUCAUAAACUCUGUCGCACACAUGUCUUAUGUGAAAGUCACACAUGUACAAUCCUCUCAAAUGCAGUGCAUCCAAACUUGUAAAAUUUUGCGAACUCCUCUAUAUAAUCAAUUUCAUGAAACAUUGAUAGAUUCUUUGUUUCUCAUGACUUCUGGCAAUAUUUGAAAUACAAGAAAUCCAUGUAUUUUCCAGUACUCCAUCCUCACUGUCAAAACUGUCGAGAAUGCAAAAGCUCUGAGAUUGUACCCUACCUGCAAGGCAACAAGUUAACCUGGCAUAGUUUCAUGUCUGCUGGUAGAAGCUAUGAGGCUCCUGAGUCACAGAUAUUUGUAGAAACCAGGAGCUGAAACAAAGCAAUGGUUCAGGCAACCACAGAGAUUUGCAUGGAUGAUCACAUAAACUAGGCUGAAGCUAUCUGGUAUGUCAUACUGUUUCAAUAUAAUGUUCUCAGAAUUUAGGGAGAAUCUAAAACAAAAAAGAGCUGUGGUUUUAUUUUGUAAUCAUAGAGGUAGUACAUGAGACAACUGUAAACCACUUAGAGUAGUUAUUAGAAAAUAGUAUUACAGUGCCUUUAUUGUAUUUCCUAUAUUUAUUUAUGACUUUUCAGUAUUCUAAUUUUCCUUGAGCUUCUGAAUUAUUAGAUCCUCUAUGUUAUUAUGUCUAUAGAUUGAAUUAUCAAGUAAUAAAAAGUGUAAAACAUUUCUGAUUUCAUACAAACCUUGAUUUUCAAGUUUCCAAUCAAGAAAAGAAAAAAAUGAAAAAGAAAACUUUUAUGUUGUUUAUAAUGUUUUUUUUUUUACUCCUUCAAAGCAGAAGGAGGGCUUAUAAAUUCUAGAGGGAACUAUUUUUUAUACCUCAGGGAAAAAGUCUGUUAUUGACUUAGUCUGGCUAAACCUCAGGGGUUAAUGUUGGCAUUUCUAUCUUAACUGUUCCACUCUAUUAAUUUCCUAUCAAUAAAAAUUAUCACAAAUUUAGUAGCUUAAAACAACGCAAAUUUAUUCUCUUACAGUUCUAGGGGCAAAAAGUCUAAAACAGGUAUAACUGUGCUAAAAUGAAGGUGUUGUCUGGCCUCCAUUCUUUCUAGAGGCUCUAGGGAAGAAUUUGUUUCCUUGCCUUUUCAAGCCUCCUAGAGGCUGCCUAUGUACCUUGGCUUGUGCAUCCUUGCUAUAUAUAUCUACAGUCAGCUGUGUAGUGUCUUCAAAUCUCUCUCUGACUUCUGCUUCUGUCCUUAUGUCUCAUUCUUUGACUGAUCUCUUAACUCCCUCCUAUAAGGACCCUUUAUGACUAUAUUGGACCAAUGGAUAAUCCAGGGUAAUCUUCCAUCUCAGAAUCCCUUACUUACUCACAUAUGCAAAGUUUCUUUUGCCAUUUAAGGUAACAUAUUUACAGGUUCUGAGUAUUAGGACAUAGACAUCUUUGGUGGACCAUUAUUCUGCCUAUCAUACCCAUAAAACCUGAAACCCUUCUGCUUGUGAAAUGGACUCUCAUGGAGUGGAUUAAUUGACUAUCUCUGGAAUUUUAAAACUCAGACUUACGGAGUAUAUGUAUGCAAAUCGUAGUCAGAUUUAAUGGGUGUACCUGAUUUAAUAGAGAACUGCUCUUGACGUGAAAACCGCCUGAUGGAUGAGAGUUGUCAGAGGAUAUAGAGGCCCACAACCCAUUAUCUGUAACUUAGAACCAGCUAGGUUUCAGAUUUUUAAAAGGUAACGUGGUUCAGAACUAUAUAUUACAUAAUGUUACCAGUGGGCUCUGUAGCUAGGUUAAUGACUAUUUUUGCAGUAAAGCAUGAAUAUUCAUAUUUCUUAUUAAGACAAAGAGCACCAUAAAUAGCCUUGUAUCAGUUCAUGUCAGGUUUUUGCCACUUCUUGACUUGCAAAAAGUCUGCAAUUUUUAGAACUCUUUUGAUUUUGUGAUUUUGCACGAUAUCAUUGUGUAGGGAAGACCAAGAGCCAGAAAACAUACAAUGCACACAUGCACAUGUGCAGAUACCCCUGCAAACAACUUUAAUAUCCUUGUAUGUUCAGUCAAGGUUGGGCUGAAAUUUGUGCAUGAAAAUGAUCUAGAAAAAAUGCAGGGUCAUACAUAACAAGAACUUUACUCAGUGUUCUAUCAUAAAUUUCUCACUUGAACAUAAGGAGCUGUUUUUGUAUAGGUAAACAACUACAGAUGAUUGAACUACUAGCAAUUUUUCAUGGUACAGAUCCCUUAGUUUUUUCAACAUUUACCUGGUAGGAACACUACAUGAAGGAAAAGAGACUUUUGUCUAGACUCAUGGAAACUAGCUUUUCUAAAUGUUGUUAGAGCUCUCGGAGAGCUAAGGGAGAUCCAUCAGUAUGAUUUUUUU